UACGUAGGGUGCGAGCGUUAAUCGGAAUUACUGGGCGUAAAGCGCACGUAGGCGGUCAGGCAAGUCGGGUGUGAAAGCCCUGGGCUCAACCUGGGAAUUGCAUUCGAAACUAUCUGACUCGAGUAUGGGAGAGGGAAGCGGAAUUUCCGGUGUAGCGGUGAAAUGCGUAGAUAUCGGAAGGAACACCAGUGGCGAAGGCGGCUUCCUGGACCGAGAUCGACGCUGAGGCGCGAAAGCUAGGGGAGCAAACGGG
rnacentral:rRNA from 1 species